rnacentral:snoRNA from 1 species
ACCCCUUGGCAGUGGGCAAGGAGACACCUGAUUGGUGGUGUUGCUCUUAGAUCAAUCAGGGCAAAGCAGAUAUAUAGUCCUUAGUUCAUCCUCGUUUGAUGCCUGUGUUAGUGGCCCGAGCUGUUUCAUGCCUGAGGAACAUAA